AUGGGGGCAUAUAAAAAAAAUAAUGAAAAUGAGCAUGUACAGGAAACGUUAACCCGACAUGCGAAAGAUCAAGUAGAAGGCUAUCAAAACGAACAUACCCCAAACGAUAUAACAGGAGGAAGUAAAAAAGUUAUUUAUAAUAAAUUAAAUACACUAAACGGUAUAACAAUAAAAGACAGUGAUUUUAAUGAAAACAAACAUAAGCUCAAUGGAAACAAAUUAAAAAAAGUAUCUGCAUAUGUACAUACAUCAAAUGUAAUAGAUGAUCAUUUAUCUAAAAAUGAAGAUACUAACAACGAACGUGCAUAUUCUACUGAUCACUUUAAUAUAAAAAAUGAUACAUUUAAACAUUCUAAGUUUGAGUCAAAUAAUAACGAAUUGAAUAAUGAAGUUAACAAUAGUAGUUAUAGAAAUAAUAGUAUUAAAAAAAAAGACAACUUUAUAAAAAGUUCUUCAAGUUAUAAGCAUAUUUCUAAAAAGCAUAAAGACAAAGAUAAAAAUAAAAAAAAAGAAAAAAAUGAUCAGGCUGUAAUUAUAAAACAAAAAAAAAAUAGUAAUACUAGUCCUACUACUAAAAUAAGUGACUAUUUUAAAUGGGCUGACAAUAUUAAGGAUGGGUCUUAUAAAGACUUGGAAGAAAUUCAUCCGAAGAAAAUUAUUUUUAAAGAUGUUAAAAGAAUACAAUCAAUUAAAAAUGAGACAAAUAAUCCAAUUGACUCAAAUGAUCCAGAUGAUAUAGAUGACCCAAAUGAUCCAAAUGACCCAAAUGACCCAAAUGUAUGUAGAGCCGAAUCAAAUAAAAGCCAAACUGAUACAGUACAGGAUAAUGUAUAUGAAAAUUACGUUAGAGAAUAUAAAAACUUACAAUUAUUAUUUUCGAGUGAAAAUAAACAAAUGAACGAGUCUUAUGUACCUAUACCUAAAAUGGUCGAUAAUAAUUUUAAAAAGAAUGUAAUAUCACCAAAUAAUAAAAUCAGUAAUUGUAAAAAUAUCACUACAAAUAAUGUUAACAGUAACUGUAAUGAAACGAAUAAUGGAAACAGUAAUAAUAACAAAAAAAGUGAUGCUAACGAUUUGAAUAAAUUGUUAGAAAAUGACAUAAGUAAUAAACAAAAAAAGAUAUUAAUUAAGGAAGAUGAAAAAGAGAACAAAAAAGGAAGAAUAAAUGAAAGUGAAAGUAUAUUAGACGACACUCAUGAACAUAGAGGUGGUGAAGAACAUACAAAUGUCCAAACAAAAACAAGUACUGAUGAAACAAAUAUGAAUAAUAACGAAACAUUUAAUGUUAAUAAGGGGGAAAGUGAAAUAUUAAUAACAUCUCAAAAAAAUAACAAAGAAAAAGUUUUAUUGAGUAAAAAAAAUAAAAAUAAUGACAGAUAUCAAAAUUCGUUACAUGAGGAAAAUGGAUCUAACAAUAGUAAUACUGAACAAGGCAUAGUUUUAAAUAGUAAUACUAAUAAUUUAGGUAAUAUAUAUAAAGAAGAAAAUAAAUAUAAUAUAUUAAAUGAUAAAAAAAUAAGUAUUAUGCAGAUUAAUGAUAAUAAUAGUAUAUGCAAUAAAGAACAUAAUAAUGAUAGUAAUUACAUAAAUAGUAGUAGUUGUAGUAGUAAUAAUGUUAAUCGAUUAUUUAAUAAAAAAAUUAUGCCAUUUGAUAAAAGUUUAAAUAAUUAUACAUUAAACAGAAAACAAAGUUUUUUAAGUAAUAGUAGUACAUGGGGAGGAGAUGAACAUAGAAUGAGUUCUUUAACCAACUUGGCUAAUUUUUAUAUUGAUAAAACUGUCUCAACAAAUGAUAGUAACAACAAAAUUACGUUAUAUAAAGAUAACAGUUCAGAAUAUGGUAGUAUAAAAAAAUUGUUAAGUUAUGAAACAAACAAUUUGAAUUCUUUUAUUGAUAACACGAAUAAUUCCUUCAGGUAUAAUAUACUUAGUGACACUGAUACGCGUAAGGAAAGAUACAAUAGUAAUGAAUAUAAAAAAAAAAAAAUAAAAAAUAAAAAAAAAAAAAAAACUUAUAGUAAAAAGGUUAUACAUGAUGAAUCAAGUAUACAAGAGUAUGAAUCAAUGACAACAGACACAAACAAUGAAAAAAAAACAGUUACUAAACGAAAUAAAAAGGAUAUAUUAUCUGAUGUAUCUUAUUUGGAUGAACAUACAAGUAACUACACAAGUCAAAGACAUAUCGAUCGAUAUAACUUAAAGAAUAGUAUGAAAAAUAAAUUAAAAAGAGAAGAUACUUUUAUAAACAAUGGAAAUAAAAGGAUGUAUAGUGAUACUAGUGUUAAACCUAGAAGUAACCAUCAUAAUGUUUUUGAAAAUGGCAGUUAUGGUAGUAAUAGUAGGAAUAGUAGUAAUGGUGGUAAUGGUAGUAAUGGUGGUAAUGGUAGUAAUGGUUGUAAUGGUAGCAGCAAUAGUACAAAAUCCGAUUUCCUUAAGUACAAGAAUUCAACUAUUACAACUGCCACAUUAGAUGCGAAGGCUAAUAUUACUACGACUGCUAUGAGUACAUCUACAAAAUAUAUUACCGAAACUCCCAUUACAAGCAGUACUUUAUCACAUAUUAAUGGAUUUACUACACAAACAAAAUUAAAUAACUUAAAAAAAACAGUUAAAAAAGAAAAUAUAUAUUAUCCACAUCAACUAUUGAAUAAACAAGACACAACUGAUGGAUCUAUUUCAUAUUCGAAACCAUUUGGAACCGAAAACAUGAUAAACAAUUUUGAUUUUUAUUUAUUUGUUAAUAAUGAAUUAAAUAAAAAAAACUACUUUGAUUCUUUUUUUGAGAGGAGUCAUAGUACAAUAGAUAUUCAACAUGGGGCUAAACAAAAAAUAGGACGAACAGGAAAAAAUCACGCACCGACAACCAACACGAUGACACAAGAAAGCAUAAACGGAAAAAAAAAAAAAGAACUUCAGAUUUUAUUAUUUUUAGGUAUUUGUAUAAAAAUAUUUAUUUGUAGAAUACCUAAUUUAUUAAAUGCUAAAUUAUGUUUAAAACAAUUUUAUUACUUUUUAAAUAGAAAACAGAUAGGACUAAAAACAAUAAAAAAUGCGCAUAUAGUUUUGAUUUAUUUUAUUCCUUUUUUUCAAAAAUAUUUAUUCUUAUGGCAAUUAAUUGAAAAUGAAAUAGACAUAGAAAUAAUAAACAUAAUUAAAAAUAUUAUACAAGAUUUGGAAGAAAUUAAAAAUAUUUACAAAAUGGAAAAUAAUAGAAUUAUAGGCUUAUCUGUUUUAACAGAAGGAGAUAGUACACACGAUGGGUAUAUUCCAAAAACAAUGAGUAUUAAUAAAAAAAUAAGUACCAAAAUAAAUAACAAAGUAAAUUGUACUAAUACACAUGGUAGUAACGUAACAAGUAGUAAUGUUGUAGGUGAUAAAAAAGAAGGUAGUAUUAAUAAAAAACUAAAUAAAUUAGAAAAACGUAAAGUUAUGUCUACAAUAGGAGAUCCAAAUAAAGUUAAGAGUUAUAUUAGUACCACUACAAAUGCAAAUAUGAACGAUAAUAAAAAUAUAGAUGGAAACAAUAACUGUAAUAAUAAAAAACACGAAACAAAAUCUAAAAAAUCUACAAACAAUGAAACAUAUGAUAACAUAACAUAUGAAGAUAUGUUUAUAAAUAUUGAAAGUGAUUAUAGUUAUAAUAGUAAUGAACAAAUGAAUGAGUAUGGUAAUAAUAAAAAUGAUGAAGAAAAUAAUAAAAAUAAAAAAAAUAAAAAUGCUAAAGAAUAUAUAACUAAAUUACAUUUUAAUAAUAUGAAUGUGAACAAUUUUUUUAAUAAAGAUGCAUUUUUUAUUUUAAAAAAACCAAAAGAAACAAUUAAAGUUAAUUCCAUUUCAUUAAAAAAUAAAACAAAACAAAAUAAAGGAACAAAUAAUACUGUUUAUGAUUGUGGUUUAAAAUAUAAUAUGUCUACAACUAACAGUACUCAGAAUAAUACAAAUAACGUGCAAAUUGAUAAAUUUAAUACUACUGUACCAUUACAUAACGAUAAUAAUAGUGGUACAUUUGAUAUUGAGUAUAAUAGUAAUAGCGAUUAUAAACACAAAGAAAAAAAUAAUUAUAACAAUAUUAAUAAUACACAUAAAGAUAAUAACUUAACCGAUAUAUCUAAUAACUCUAAUGACAAAAUCAAAAAUAUUUAUUCAUUAAAUUGUAAUAAAAAUAACAAUAUAAAUGAAAAUAAUACAAAUAGUACAUCCGCAGUAGUUAAUACAGCAAACAAAAAUAAAUAUACUCCUUAUAAAACAUUAAACGAAUCAAUAAAUUUAAAUAAAGAGAUCAACUCGAAGGAUGCUGAUGGGGUUGAUAUUGUUAACGAGUUAGGUGGCAAUACAAAUGAAAUCGACUCAAAAAAGAUAAAUACAAAUGUAACCAAUACAAAUGUAACCAAUACGAAUGUAGCCAACACAAAUGUAGCCAAUACAAAUGUAGCCAAUACAAAUGUAGCCAAUACAAAUGUAGCCAACACAAUUGAAUCGAACAAUUUGUUUAUGUGGAAAGAUAUAUCAAAUAUUCAAAAACAAACAAUGUCAAUAAAUCAUAAUAAUAAUAAUAAUAAUAAUAAUAAUAAUAAUAAUAAUANNNNNNNNNNAUAAUAAUAAUAAUAAUAAUAAUAAUAAUAAUAAUAAUAAUAUAUAUAAAAAUUACGAAGAAAUAAAUUUUACUAUAAAUAAUGGUUCA
ensembl:lncRNA